UUCGACUCGCCUUGCGUUAUGACAUUGUUGUACUUACUGAAACGCACGGGUCACUUGUGGGCAGGCUAUCUCGGCUGAUACCUAAUGGGUCUUGCUGCUAUCUUGCUGGGAAGUCUAGAGAACAGGGGGGUGUUUGCGUUUGGGUGCAUCAGCGGAUCGCACGUCAUGUUACUCACUGCACAUCGACAGACGCGCCAAGAGGCAUGAACAGUGUCUGGCUGAGAAUUCACGGUGAAGCCCUGAAUUUUGG
rnacentral:lncRNA from 1 species